CUUGAUUAGUAGUGAAAUCAAAGAUCAAAUCUCAAUUUAUCUAGAUUAAACUUUUACAGAGGUCUGGAUGUGCAGACCCUCUACUUCGCAUGCAUGUCAGACGUCACAAGAAAGCGAGAUGAACUCCAAUCCAAUUGUCUUCGCAAGCCAACCAAAUAAGAGAGGAGAUAUACUGGUGUGACAUCUCACACUAGUAGAUAGGAUGCCCAAGAAUGAUCCACACCCA
rnacentral:lncRNA from 1 species